CAUCCAUCAUCCAUCUAUCCAUCUAUAAUCCAUCUAUCCAUCCAUCAUCUGUCUAUAAUCCAUCUAACAUCCAUCAUCCAUCUAUCCAUCUAUAAUCCAUCUAUCCAUCCACCAUCCCUCAAUAGUCCAUCUAUCCAUCCAUCAUCCAUCUAUAAUCCAUCUAACCAUCCAUCAUCCAUCUAUCCAUCUAUAAUCCAUCUAUCCAUCCAUCAUCCGUCUAUAAUCCAUCUAACAUCCAUCAUCCAUCUAUCCAUCUAUAAUCCAUCUAUCCAUCCACCAUCCCUCAAUAGUCCAUCUAUCCAUCCAUCAUCCAUCUAUAAUCCAUCUAACCAUCCAUCAUCCAUCUAUCCAUCUAUAAUCCAUCUAUCCAUCCAUCAUCCGUCUAUAAUCCAUCUAACAUCCAUCAUCCAUCUAUCCAUCUAUAAUCCAUCUAUCCAUCCACCAUCCCUCAAUAGUCCAUCUAUCCAUCCAUCAUCCAUCUAUAAUCCAUCUAACCAUCCAUCAUCCAUCUAUCCAUCUAUAAUCCAUCUAUCCAUCCAUCAUCCGUCUAUAAUCCAUCUAACAUCCAUCAUCCAUCUAUCCAUCUAUAAUCCAUCUAUCCAUCCACCAUCCCUCAAUAGUCCAUCUAUCCAUCCAUCAUCCAUCUAUAAUCCAUCUAACCAUCCAUCAUCCAUCUAUCCAUCUAUAAUCCAUCUAUCCAUCCAUCAUCCGUCUAUAAUCCAUCUAACAUCCAUCAUCCAUCUAUCCAUCUAUAAUCCAUCUAUCCAUCCACCAUCCCUCAAUAGUCCAUCUAUCCAUCCAUCAUCCAUCUAUAAUCCAUCUAACCAUCCAUCAUCCAUCUAUCCAUCUAUAAUCCAUCUAUCCAUCCAUCAUCCGUCUAUAAUCCAUCUAACAUCCAUCAUCCAUCUAUCCAUCUAUAAUCCAUCUAUCCAUCCACCAUCCCUCAAUAGUCCAUCUAUCCAUCCAUCAUCCAUCUAUAAUCCAUCUAACCAUCCAUCAUCCAUCUAUCCAUCUAUAAUCCAUCUAUCCAUCCAUCAUCCGUCUAUAAUCCAUCUAACAUCCAUCAUCCAUCUAUCCAUCUAUAAUCCAUCUAUCCAUCCACCAUCCCUCAAUAGUCCAUCUAUCCAUCCAUCAUCCAUCUAUAAUCCAUCUAACCAUCCAUCAUCCAUCUAUCCAUCUAUAAUCCAUCUAUCCAUCCAUCAUCCGUCUAUAAUCCAUCUAACAUCCAUCAUCCAUCUAUCCAUCUAUAAUCCAUCUAUCCAUCCACCAUCCCUCAAUAGUCCAUCUAUCCAUCCAUCAUCCAUCUAUAAUCCAUCUAACCAUCCAUCAUCCAUCUAUCCAUCUAUAAUCCAUCUAUCCAUCCAUCAUCCGUCUAUAAUCCAUCUAACAUCCAUCAUCCAUCUAUCCAUCUAUAAUCCAUCUAUCCAUCCACCAUCCCUCAAUAGUCCAUCUAUCCAUCCAUCAUCCAUCUAUAAUCCAUCUAUCCAUCUAUAA
rnacentral:lncRNA from 1 species